AUUCAAAAAGAAAAGGUGUCUU
rnacentral:siRNA from 1 species